rnacentral:snRNA from 1 species
GUCUCAUAGGAGACACAUGAUAGAAAUCGAAUUAGAAUGAUACAAAGAAGAUUAGUAUGUCCAUGCGCAAGGAUGACAAGCACAAACCAUUAACCACUCAAACACUAU